GCAUCAGUAGCUCAGAGAAAGAGCGUCGGUCUUGUAAACCGAAUGACGGGGGUUCAAGUCCCCCCUCCUGCU
rnacentral:tRNA from 1 species